rnacentral:pre_miRNA from 13 species
CGGCUGGCUCCAUCUGGAAGACUAGUGAUUUUGUUGUUGUCUUACUGUGCUCAACAACAAGUCCCAGUCUGCCGCAUGGUGCGGGCCA